rnacentral:rRNA from 1 species
GAUGAACGCUGGCGGCGUGCUUAACACAUGCAAGUCGAACGGGAAAUAUUUCAUUGAGAGUUCGGUGGAUUUGAUUUAUUUCUAGUGGCGGACGGGUGAGUAACGCGUGGGUAACCUGCCUUAUACAGGGGGAUAACAGUCAGAAAUGGCUGCUAAUACCGCAUAAGCGCACAGAGCUGCAUGGCUCAGUGUGAAAAACUCCGGUGGUAUAAGAUGGACCCGCGUUGGAUUAGCUAGUUGGUGGGGUAACGGCCCACCAAGGCGACGAUCCAUAGCCGGCCUGAGAGGGUGAACGGCCACAUUGGGACUGAGACACGGCCCAGACUCCUACGGGAGGCAGCAGUGGGGAAUAUUGCACAAUGGGGGAAACCCUGAUGCAGCGACGCCGCGUGAAGGAAGAAGUAUCUCGGUAUGUAAACUUCUAUCAGCAGGGAAGAUAGUGACGGUACCUGACUAAGAAGCCCCGGCUAACUACGUG